rnacentral:lncRNA from 1 species
GGUUCAGUAGGUUUCAAUUUGAUAGAAGAACUGCAUGAAGGUUGGUCUAGAGACCAUGUGUAUUAAGCUCCUGCUGAAAAUUUGCCUACAUUUUGCUAAUGUUCUGAGACUUUGUGGAGACUGUCUUUAAGGGUGGCGGACUACUGUCAUAGUGGAAUUUCAAAGAAGACCAAUAUUCACAUUGCAAUAUGGGUACUUCUUGCCAAUUUUAAUCAGUUUAUACUGAAUAUCAGCAGAUGCCCAUUUCAGUUUACCCCAAAAAUGAAGCCCCUAUAAAGUUGGAGCAAAGAGCUUGUUUGCUAGUAAGACUACCAUUAAAAAGAAAGCGAGUACAACCUUGGAUCAAGAAGAGAAAGAUUGGAAGAAUCACCAAGAAUCCUCCCUUUUCUGGUUCAGGGAUGAAAAGCUGUAAAGCUUUCAUUCAAAACAAGAGUCUCAGGGGCCAAGGAUUUAGCUCAGUGGUUUCGCUGCCUGCUGUGCAAGCGUAAGGACCUGAGUUUGAUCCCCAGUACCAAAAACAAACAGACAAACAAACAAACAAACAAACACAAGUCUCAGGAAAUCCAGCUUAUUCAGAGAAAAAUAGAAAAUAAUUUUUCACAGGUUAGCCAUCCAAGUAUUCAGCGGUCUCUGCAGCCAUGAGCCGUGGAUUCCCUGAUACUGCUUGAGCUGUCUGUCAGUGGACCUUGGAAUCAUCCAUGUUAUGCUGGUUUAUAGGGAUGUAGAAAGAAAGAGUUGUGGGUUCAAUAAAGCUUCCAACCAGAUUUCAGAAGAUCUGGAAGGCCAAGCAGUGUGCCCCUGAAAGGAGACAAGUGCAGUGAAGACUCUAGGCAGUUGUAGAGGCCAGGAAUAUGGAGUGUCUGUUGAGAAAGCCUGCAGGCAAUGAGCAGAACCUGCUCAACUUAGAGGUGAUGGGUCUGUGAUGGGUCUGAUAGGGAGUGCCAUAGUGUGGCCCUCAAAGCUAUAUGGAGAUUGCAUCUUGCAUAACACACCUGAGGUGCUAGACAUGGGGCUAUGGGGUUUAAUGUUUUCCCUGUUGGGUUUUAUUUUUGGCCAUUGGUUUCUAGCCUCCAGUUCCUCUCUUUAGGAAUGAAAAUGUUUACCUUGUGCCACUGUAUGUUAGCAGUGUUCAGCUUUCUUUUUUAUUUUUAUAGUGGCUCACAGCAAUGAGUUUGUUUUCAAUAUCAUAGGAGACUGUGGACUUGAACUUUUCAAAAAUUCUGGAACCGUUAAUAUAGAUAAUUUUGCAUAAGGAGAUCUCCAUAAGUCUUUUGGGGUCCAGGGCAGAAUGUUAUAGUUUAUGCCUCAAUGACCCCCAAGGAGGCUCAUGAACUCUUAGGUGGGGAUUUUAAAAGAGGAUUGGACCUUAGAGGUGAUAGAGCUGUUAGGAAAUGGGGCCCGGUCCGGGGAGACAGGCCGCUGAAACAUGACCUAGAAGAGCGUAUCUCCCUCCUCAGAGCCUCCUUUCUCUCUUUGUGCUUCUGGGCCACCACCAUUGUGAACAGCUUUCCUCUUUUCAGGCUCCUGUACCAUGCUAUUUCUGUGUUUAAGACUGCUGAACAUGACCUGAAACUUCUGAAUUGUGUCAUAACUGAUGUCACAGCAAUGGAAGAGCUAACACACCCAGCCACCCAGCAAGUAACAGAAUAGAAAAACAAAGAAAAAAAAUGCACUAAACAGCAACAUAGGAACAAAAUACAAAAUUAUGUUUCUAUUAGAAUAACACCCACUAUGAAUUUGCUUUUUUCAGAAGAGAAUAUUUUAGCCCCUGUUCGCCCCAGGGCCGCCCCACAAGUGCCUCCGGGCAGCGCGCGCCCGCGGACCUCAACCUGUCGGCGGGCAUGCGCUCGGGGCCGCGCGCGGGAACGACUCUCGUCCACUCGGAGCUGGAAGGGAACGAAGAAGGAGGCGGCCUGCUGAACCUCUCCUCGCCCUUGCGAGCGAAAACUCCGCGCCUCAGAGCCGUGAUGAGCUCGGGAUAAGCACAGGCGGCAAAGCCAGAUGUGUAGGCAGCGGUGGAACCCUCACAGAGUAGCAAACACGAACGGAUGAGGUGAAGCCAGAAUGGAGAGCGAAUAAUGUGAGCCCCAGGAUUCACCAGACACCUUUGGUUAUCUUGGAAUGCUCUUAUUCUACGACAACAGAUCUCUUCUCUGGCAUCGUAUGGAUGCUUUGAAUGCAAAAGAUAGAUCCUCAACUUUGACAUCCAGGCUCUCAGAUUCACCACCAGAGCAGCCCCAAGGUGGUGCUGUUGGACUGAUGGUUGUAUCAUGGCUUGGAAAUGCUGAUGCGGCACUAGUAGUGCAGAGGUAUCCAUCUGAUUGGUAACCUGCUUGCUUUGCUGAAGUUACAGAAGGUAGUUGUAUGGCUCUACCUCCUGGACAACUGUAGUGGUAAGUGGUGGGGGGUUGUAUACAGCACUGAGGAGCUAGUAUGGACUGUUUGUAUGCUUCUGUCCUCAGAAUGAGCUCUUUGAGUUCACUGGAUGACACAUCUUCAAGCCCUUAUGGUUUAAAAUAAUGAAUCAUCAUGGUGCUGGGGAAACAUUUAUUCUUUCUUGCUCAGAACUCACCAUCCCAGUUUUGCUUUGAGGAAUCUACUUGUCCUUCAUUUUCACUGUAAGUGCUUCAGGUGAAAUGGGUAAUCUAGAGAAUGCUGCCUGUUUGUAUAAAGUCUGUGACCUAAGAAUGGUUUUUAAUACUUUAAAGCACAGGGAAUGGGGAAAAAAUAAGAACCAAGAUACAUCAUGUACAGGU